rnacentral:rRNA from 1 species
UACGAGGGGGGCAAGCGUUGUUCGGAAUUAUUGGGCGUAAAGGGUGCGUAGGCGGCGCGGUAUGUCUCUUGUGAAAUCUCCAGGCUCAACUUGGAGUCUGCAAGGGAAACUGCCGUGCUUGAGUACUGGAGAGGUGAGUGGAAUUCCCGGUGUAGCGGUGAAAUGCGCAGAUAUCGGGAGGAACACCUAUGGCGAAGGCAGCUCGCUGGGACGUUACUGACGCUGAGACGCGAAAGCGUGGGGAGCGAACAGG